AUGCAGGAUAAGUUACAAUGUAGCUGUCAAGUGCUGUAUUGUCGUUCCCCCUGCUCAAAUAAAUUGUGUCAUACUAUCCCUGACUGCCUCGAUUCCCACAGUAGACAGGGACGCUUGGUCUCGUACAU
ensembl:snoRNA SNORA63 Small nucleolar RNA SNORA63